UUAGUAACUAGUUUUUAUUGUUGUUGUAUUUCACUAAUGGUUUGAUUUUGUUUCACUACAUGUUAUCCUUUUUGACUGAGCCUUUGUUUGAUAGGUGUAAGUUCAUAUGAUAUAUAAGCAGCUAACCUUUUUUAAUUUGGAGAGAAAUUACGUUGGUUAUCUGUGUUGUUUGAUGGAAGGUUCUUCUUUGCCUAAGUGUGUGCCUUGUGGAUUUUGAUCUCUAAAUGAUGUAAACUGUUAUGAGCUAUGGAUAAACUCCGGUGAAGCUUAAUUGUCAUAGUUACACUGAUAGAGGUCAUUUAUUUUUUUACUGGUAGUGUUGGUACUGUGUUAUGUAUAAUGAAUGUUAUUAUGGAAUUUCUUUGAAGACUUGAUUUGUUAUUGUGAUUGAAAUCGUUGCUAAAAACUCUGAAUAUAAUUUUUUCCACUUUUCCACGUUUUCUUAAAAUUACCUUAAUUUGAUUUAUAUUAUAUCGCUAUUUAACAAUUUAUCUCUGUAUGAUGAAGAAAUUACUGGCUACGGAUAAAUUCCAAUGAAGCCUGUUUCUGUCAUAGUUACACUGACAGAGAAUUGUUGAUUUUGUUUGCCAUUGUUUUGUUAUUUUACCUGUAUGAUGUAUCCUGACAUCCACUGUCAUGAAACACUUUUAACUAGGAUGAAAUUUAGAAAAAUUAUGAACGGGAUUUCAUUGUUCUCUCCAUAUCACCUCUUCAAAAUGUCUUACUCUGGUCCAUAUUGAAAUGUAUGAACUUAUCUCUAUUUGAUGAAGAGAUCUUAGGCUAUGGAUAAAGUUCAAUGAUGCCUAUUUCUGUCAUAGUUACACUGAUAGAGUUGUUCAUACUCUGUUCUAUAUAUACCUGACUGACUGAUUAGUUCACCAGGAAAGAAUAUGUGCAAUCUAGGAUAGUUCAUGUAAUGUGAAAUACGCCUCAAGUUUUUUGGUUGCAUUUUUUAUGCUAAAUAUGGUGAUGUUAAAGGUUUAAGGUUUUCUUCACCUGUUUAAUCUCAGAUAUUAAAGGCAACUUUGCCGAGGUGAUCAGUACCAAAUUGGUUUCCUCUUUUCCCUGUUGCUGAUACUAGAAUUGGCUGGAAAUAGUUUCAUGCUGUGCUGAUUUAUAUAGUCAGCACACCUGUCUAGUAUAGCCAACAAAACAUAGUGCCUUAAUAAACAUUUUUAUGUUACUGUAAUUUGCCUCUCUUGUUGGUGUUGUCAAUAUAUGUCUGCAUUCUGGUUUCUUAGCAAAAUAUUAAAUUUGUAAGGCAACUUUGCCGAGGUGAUCAGUACCAAAUUGGUUUCCUCUUUUCCCUGUUGCUGAUACUAGAAUUGGCUGAAAAUAGAUUCAUGCUGUGCUGAUUUAUAUAAUCAGCAAUCAGCACACCUGUUUAGUAUAGCCAACAAAACAUAAUGCCUUAAUAUACAUUUUUAUGUUACUGUAAUUUGCCUCUCUUGUUAGUGUUGUCUAUGUAUGUCUGCAUUCUGAUUUUUUAGCAAAAUAUUAAAUUUGUAAGGCAACUUUGCCGAGGUGAUCAGUACCAAAGUGGUUUCCUCUUUUCCCUGUUGCCGAUACUAGGAAUUGGCUGAGAAUAGUUUCAUGGUUGUGCUGAUUAUAUACAGUCAGUGCUCUUGUCUAGUAUAGC